rnacentral:misc_RNA from 1 species
CUAUUUUCUUUGGAGCCACCGGCACACAGAGAGCCGGAAGGAGAGCGAAAAUGCCAGCCGGUCAUGGUCUUCGUUCGCGAACUCGCGAUUUGUUCUCAAGACCCUUCAGGAAGAAGGGUUACAUUCCCUUGACUGUCUAUCUCAGGACCUACAAGAUCGGUGAUUAUGUCGAUGUCAAGGUAAAUGGCGCCGUCCACAAGGGUAUGCCUCACAAAUUCUACCAUGGCCGCACCGGUCGUGUCUGGAAUGUCACCAAGCG